rnacentral:rRNA from 1 species
AUGCAAGUCGAACGGUGACGACCAGCUUGCUGGUCUGAUCAGUGGCGAACGGGUGAGUAACACGUGAGCAACCUGCCCCUGACUCUGGGAUAACGACCGGAAACGGUCGCUAAUACCGGAUAUGAGACGUACAGGCAUCUGUUGCGUCUGGAAAGUUUUUCGGUCAGGGAUGGGCUCGCGGCCUAUCAGCUUGUUGGUGGGGUAACGGCCUACCAAGGCGACGACGGGUAGCCGGCCUGAGAGGGCGACCGGCCACACUGGGACUGAGACACGGCCCAGACUCCUACGGGAGGCAGCAGUGGGGAAUAUUGCACAAUGGGCGCAAGCCUGAUGCAGCGACGCCGCGUGAGGGAUGACGGCCUUCGGGUUGUAAACCUCUUUCAGCAGGGAAGAAGCGCAAGUGACGGUACCUGCAGAAGAAGCGCCGGCUAACUACGUGCCAGCAGCCGCGGUAAUACGUAGGGCGCAAGCGUUGUCCGGAAUUAUUGGGCGUAAAGAGCUCGUAGGCGGUUUGUCGCGUCUGCUGUGAAAACCUCAGGCUCAACCUGGGGCUUGCAGUGGGUACGGGCAGACUAGAGUGCGGUAGGGGUGACUGGAAUUCCUGGUGUAGCGGUGGAAUGCGCAGAUAUCAGGAGGAACACCGAUGGCGAAGGCAGGUCACUGGGCCGCAACUGACGCUGAGGAGCGAAAGCAUGGGGAGCGAACAGGAUUAGAUACCCUGGUAGUCCAUGCCGUAAACGUUGGGCACUAGGUGUGGGGCUCAUUCCACGAGCUCUGUGCCGCAGCAAACGCAUUAAGUGCCCCGCCUGGGGAGUACGGCCGCAAGGCUAAAACUCAAAGAAAUUGACGGGGGCCCGCACAAGCGGCGGA